rnacentral:misc_RNA from 1 species
GAUUAAGAACGUAGCGAAAUGCGAUAAGUAAUGCGAAUUGCAGAAUUUCCGUGAGUCAUCGAAUCUUUGAACGCACAUUGCGCCCCUUGGUAUUCCAUGGGGCAUGCCUGUUCGAGCGUCAUUUGUACCCUCAAGCUUUGCUUGGUGUUGGGUGUUUGUCCUUUCCUUUUGCGUUUGGACUCGCCUGAAAGCAAUUGGCAGCCGGCGUAUUGGCCUUGGAGCGCAGCACAUUUUGCGUUUCUUGUCAACAUACGCUGACGUCCAUUAAGCCCCUCUUUAUCACUUUUGACCUCGGAUCAGGUAGGGAUACCCGCUGAACUUAAGCAUAUCGAUAAGCGGAGGA